AUACGUAGGGGGCGAGCGUUGUCCGGAAUGACUGGGCGUAAAGGGCGCGUAGACGGCUUUUUAAGUCCGGAGUGAAAGUCCUGCUUUCAAGGUGGGAAUUGCUUUGGAGACUGGGGAGCUUGAGUGCGGAAGAGGUAAGUGGAAUUCCCAGUGUAGCGGUGAAAUGCGUAGAGAUUGGGAAGAACACCAGUGGCGAAGGCGACUUACUGGGCCGUAACUGACGUUGAUGCGCGAAAGCGUGGGGAGCGAACAGGAUUAGAUACCCUGGUAGUCCACGCUGUAAACGAUGAGUGCUAGGUGUAGCGGGUAUCGACCCCUGCUGUGCCGGAGUUAACACAAUAAGCACUCCGCCUGGGGAGUACGGCCGCAAGGUUGAA
rnacentral:rRNA from 1 species